AUUCCAGCUCCAAUAGCGUAUAUUAAAGUUGUUGCGGUAAAAAAGUUCGUAGUUGGAUUUCUGUCGAGAACAGCCGGUCACGAUUUUGUCGUUGUAUCUGGUUUGGUCUUGGCAUCCUCUUGGGGAACAUUUCUGCGCUUCACUGCGUGGAGUGGUAUUCAAGACUUUUACUUUGAGGAAAUUAGAGUGUUCACGGCAGGCAAUCGCCCUGAAUAUAUUAGCAUGGAAUAAUGAUAUAGGACCUUGGUUCUAUUUUGUUGGUUUCUAGAACUAAGGUAAUGAUUAAUAGGGACAAUUGGGGGCAUUCGUAUUAACGCGUCAGAGGUGGAAUUCUUAGAUUGCGUUACGACGAACUACUGCGAAAGCAUUUGCCAAGGAUGUUUUCAUUA
rnacentral:rRNA from 1 species